UUGGCAAUUUCUAUUAUGAUUUUAUAGUCCAGGCCACAGUUACAUACAUGUACAGUCAUAAAUUACUAAUUUCAGGACCAAAACUGGGCUAGACUUUUGGCUUUACAACUCACCAAUUGUUCCCAAAAAUAAUAUCAGUCUUGGAUGGUGUGUGGAAUGUACUGGUUAUAUACAUAAACAAGACAUAGCCUGGACAUAACUCAAUAGCAUCUGUGUUUGGGAGAAUGCCACAGCCUUCUUCAAACUGGGUGCAUUGAAAUAGUUUUUAAAAUAGUUCAUCCAAGGUUAUUUAUAUAUAUAUAUAUAUUUAUAUAUAUAUAUAUAUAUAUAUAUAUAUACACACACACACUAUACAUUCAUUCUGUGUUUAUGCCUCUGAUUUAAGCUAAGUCAAUAGUCAGUAACACUUCACUUAAAGUAUACAGCUAUAAUGUGAAGGAUUUAUGGGAGCCAUCCUGGUAUCUCUUCAUUAUUGAUUACUCAAAGUAUUAGAUGAUUUAAUGACAAAGACAAUGGCAGACACGAACGGGCACCCGGGAGAAAACUCGAGUACAGAUUUCAGGUCCAUUUUCUCCAAGCCUUAUUUCCUUGUUCAUCUCUGUUCAUACCUAGUUUUGUAUCAUAAUGUGCCUUGGAAUAAUUGGUUACAGUAAUCAAAUUCAACAUAUCACAACAGCUGGAGUGUAGCGUUUCAAUAAACCGCUCGACCAUAUUCCUGUUAAACUUCAAGGUGACAAAUUUAACCAUUACAUCAGUGUUGUUGACAACAAACCACAGAUGCCAUUAGCUUGUUAGUGACUGGAGUGCACACAGCAGGGCCUUCUCUCUUGACCUUCGGAGCAAACCCUCCCUAUCAUAGACUCAAUGGACUCUAAAAAGAUGAAAUUAUUUUCACCACCUGUAGGAUGACCCCAUAUUCUAUGAUAACAGAAAAGAACAUUUGUAUUUUAUUUUUACUCGAAGGCCAGUCGGACAUCACUGCUCGCUGUCCAUGAGUUUACAAACAAAACCCAGAGGCAUAUUAUACACAGUGCCUUGGGAAGUAUUCAGACCCCUUGACCUUUUCCACAUUUUUGUUACGUUACAGCCUUAUUCUAAAAAUGGAUUAAAUAAAUAAAACAUCCUCAGCAAUCUACACACAAUACCCCAUAAUGACAAAGCGAAAACAAGAUUUUUGACAUUUGUAAAAAACAGAAAUUCCUUAUUUACAUAAGUAUUCAGACCCUUUGCUAUGAGACUCGAAAUUGAGCUCCGAUGCAUCCUGUUUCCAUUGGUCAUCCUUUUAGAUGUUUCUACAACUUGAUUAGAGUCCACCUGUGGUAAAUUCAAUUGAAUGGACAUGAUUUGGAAAGGCACACACCUGUCUAUAUAAAGGUCCCACAGAUGACAGGGCAUGUCAGAGCAAAAAACAAGUCAUGUGGUUGAAGGAAUUGUCCGUAGAGCUCAGAGAUAGGAUUGUGUCAAGGCACAGAUUUUGGGAAGGGUACCAAAAAAAUUCUGCGACAUUGAAGAUCCCCAAGAACACAGUGGCCUGCAUCAUUCUUUAAUGGAAGAAGUUUGGAACCACCAAGACCCUUCCUAGAGCUGGCCGCCCGGCCACACAGCAAUCGGGAGAGAAGGGCCUUGGUCAGGGAGGUGAACAACAACCCGAUGGUCACUCUGACAGACUCUAGAGUUCCUGUAGAGUUGGGAGAACCUUCCAGAAGGACAACCAUCUCUGCAGUACUCCACCAAUCAGGCCUUUAUGGUAGAGUGGCCAGAUGGAAGCCACUCCUCAGGAAAAGACACGACAGCCAACUUGGAGUUUGCCAAAAGGCAUCUAAAGACUCUCAGACCAUGAGAAACAAGAUUUCUUUAGUCUGAUGAAACCAAUAUUGAACACUUUGGCCUGAAUGUCAAGCGUCCCGUCUGGUGGAAACCUGGCACCAUCCAUUUGGUGAAGCAUGGUGGUGGCAGCAUCAUGCUGUGGGGAUGUUUUUCAGUGGCAGGGACUGGGAGACUAGUCAGGAUCGAGGCAAAGAUGAACAGAGCAAAGUACAGAGAGAUCCUUGAUGAAAACCUUCUCUAGAGCAUUCAGGACCUCAGACUGGGGCAAAGGUUCACCUUCCAACAGGACAAUCAUCCUAAGCACACAGACAAGACAACGCUUCAGGACAAAUCUCUGAAUGUCCUUGAGUGGCCCAGCCAGAACCUGGACUUGAACCUGACCGAACAUUUCAGGAGAGACCUGAAAAUAGCUGUGCAGCAACGCUUCCAAUCCAACCUGAAAGAGCUUGAAAGGAUCUGCAGAGAAGAAUAGGAAAAACUCCCCAAAUACAGUCGUGCCAAGCUUGUAGCGUCAUACCCAAGAAGACUUGAUGCUUUUUGACCUGAUGCUGCCAAAGGUGCUUCAACAAAGUCCUGAGUAAAGGGUCUGAAUACUUAUGCAAAUUUGAUAUCCAUUUUCAAUUGUUAAUAAAUUAGCAAAAAAAUCCUAAAAACCUGUUUUGCUUUGUGAUUAUGGGGUAUUAUGUGUAGAUUGAUGAGGGAAAAAACUAUUUCAUACAUUUUUUGAAUAAAGCUGUAAAGUAACAAAUUGUGACCAGAGUCAGCACUGUUGACACCAGAUAGGUACUGUAGAUACCAGAUAGUCAGAUAGGCACUGUUGACACCAGAUAGUCACUGUUGACACCAGAUAGUCACUGUUGACACCAUAUAGGUACUGUAGACACCAGAUAGGUACUGUAGACACCAGAUAGGUACUGUAGACACCAGAUAGGUACUGUAGACACCAGAUAGGUACUGUAGACACCAGAUAGUCAGAUAGGUACUGUAGACACCAGAUAGUCAGAUAGGUACUGUAGACACCAGAUAGGUACUGUAGACACCAGAUAGUCAGAAAGGUACUGUAGACACCAGAUAGUCAGAAAGGUACUGUAGACACCAGAUAGGUACUAUAGACACCAGAUAGUCAGAUAGGUACUGUAGUCUCACACGCUUGCAGACACUUUCGACGUUGAGGGAUUUUUAUAAUUUACGAUGAGGCUUACUAGUGUAAUAAGCCUUUUGUGAAAUGUUUCAUUUUCAUGGUUUAGGACCAACUAAAAGGGUAAGAACUAGAUCAAAGAAUUGUCUCAACAAUUUCUUAUAUUUAUUUCCCCCUUUUCAUUACAGGCAGAUAAGAGAAUACGACAUGCCACUGAACACAUAAUGAAAAUAGACGAGGAAGUUCAAUUCCCAAUUACUGUCAUACUGUGAGCUGUUGACAAAAAAGGGAAACAGGAAUGAUACAUUAGGAAAUAUAUCAUAUUUAUUCAUUUUUCCUACAUCAUACCCUGACUCACAUACAAUAUACCAGUCACAUGAAGCAAGCACUUAAAUCACCCAUGUGCUCGGGCAGGCUGGAACGCUCAGUGCAUAAAUAUCAUUGGUACACAAAUAAGCCCAGCCAAGGUUUCCCAAACCUAGUCUGAGACCCGGUGUUUAUCAAACCCACAUGAAACUGGUCAGUGGAAAUGGAGUGGUCCUACGACAUCACCUCAAUGAGCACAUCCAGUUCCAGACAAGUCCUUCCCGACAACAAGGUUGGAUUUUCACAAUAUUUACUCCAGCUGGAGUGAAAUGCUGCAUACGCAAUGAGCUUCCCAGACCAGGACCGAAAGAAAACUGUCCCAUCCCCUUCCCAGACCAGGACUGAAAAAAACUGGCCCAUCCCCUUCCCAGACCAGGACUGAAAAAAACUGUCCCAUCCCCUUCCCAGACCAGGACUGAAAAAAACUGUCCCAUCCCCUUCCCAGACCAGGACUGAAAGAAAACUGGUCCAUCCCCUUCCCAGACCAGGACUGAAAGAAAACUGGUCCAUCCCCUUCCCAGACCAGGACUGAAAAAAAACUGUCCCAUCCCCUUCCCAGACCAGGACGGAAAGAAAACUGGUCCAUCCCCUUCCCAGACCAGGACUGAAAGAAAACUGGUCCAUCCCCUUCCCAGACCAGGACGGAAAGAAAACUGGUCCAUCCCCUUCCCAGACCAGGACGGAAAGAAAACUGGUCCAUCCCCUUCCCAGACCAGGACUGAAAGAAAACUGGUCCAUCCCCUUCCCAGACCAGGACGGAAAGAAAACUGGUCCAUCCCCUUCCCAGACCAGGACGGAAAGAAAACUG
ensembl:lncRNA